rnacentral:rRNA from 1 species
UACGAGGGGGCGAGCGUUGUUCGGAAUUAUUGGGCGUAAAGGUGCGUAGGCGGUUCCGCAAGUCCUGGUGUGAAAUCUUCGGGACUCAACUGCGAAGUCUGCACGGGAAACUGCGGGGGCUUGAGUGUGGGAGAGGUGGAGUGGAAAUUCCCGGUGUAGCGGUGAAAAUGCGUAGAUAGUCGGAGGAACACCUGUGGCGGAA